AGAGUUUGAUCCUGGCUCAGAACGAACGCUAGCGGUAAGCUUAAUACAUGCAAGUCGAACGAUCUUAAUUAUAAAUAUUCGUAUUUAUAAUUAAGGUAGUGGCGGACUGGUGAGUAAUGUAUGAGAAUCUACCUAGUAGUGGGGAAUAAGCACGCUAACGCGUGUCUAAUACCGCAUAAGUCCUACGGGAGAAAGAAAUUUAAUUUCGCUACUAGAUGAGCUCAUAUCUGAUUAGGUUGUUGGUUAGGGUAAAAGCCUACCAAGCCUAUGAUCAGUAGCUGAUCUGAGAGGAUGAUCAGCCACACUGGGACUGAGAUACGGCCCAGACUCCUAUGGGAGGCAGCAGUAGGGAAUAUUGGACAAUGAGCGAAAGCUUGAUCCAGCUAUACCGCGUGGACGAUGAAGGCCUAAGGGUUGUAAAGUCCUUUCAUCAGGGAAGAUAAUGACGGUACCUGAAGAAGAAGUCCCGGCUAACUCCGUGCCAGCAGCCGCGGUAAUACGGGGGGGGCAAGCGUUGUUCGGCAUUAUUGGGCUUAAAGGGCGCGUAGGCUUAUUAGUAAGUCGAUAGUUAAAUGCAGAUGCUCAACAUCUGACCUGCUAUCGAUACUGCUAGUAUAGAGUUUGGGAUAGGUGAACAGAAUUUCGAGUGGAGAGGUGAAAUUCAUAGAUAUUCGAAGGAAUACCGGUAGCGAAGGCGGUUCACUGGAACAACACUGACGCUGAGGCGCGAAAGCGUGGGUAGCAAACAGGAUUAGAUACCCUGGUAGUCCAUGCUGUAAACGAUGAGAGCUAAUU
rnacentral:rRNA from 1 species